rnacentral:lncRNA from 1 species
GAUGAAAAUCAAAAGAGAGAGAAGAAGGAGAAAGAGAGACAGAGAGAGAAACUUACUCCCCACUCAAAGAAACUGAACAUAACUCUCGACAUCAAUCAAGUUUAUCAUACCCGCAGAGAAGGAGACCGAGACGGAGACAGGAAAGAGAAGAAAAAGAAGAGAAACUUUUAGCACUAUCAUAUUUGCGUAUUAGGUUUUCUUGCUUUCUUAACUUAAUUGAUUGAUUCUUGAUACAGAAAGAGAGAGGCAAAGAGGUUUGCAAGAGAAUGGAAGGAGCCAGUAAUGGAGGGAUGUUGUAUCAUGAAGUACAAGAGUCGAAGCUGUGCGCGAUGCAUUGCGUGAAUACAGUGUUGCAGGGCCCAUUCUUCUCGGAAUUCGAUUUGGCGGCCCUUGCUUCCGAUCUCGACCGCCGGGAGCGUCAGAUGAUGCUGCAAGCCGGCGGUGAUUUCCUCC